rnacentral:rRNA from 1 species
AUUGAACGCUGGCGGCAGGCCUAACACAUGCAAGUCGAACGAGUGGCGGACGGGUGAGUAAUGUCUGGGAAACUGCCUGAUGGAGGGGGAUAACUACUGGAAACGGUAGCUAAUCCCGCAUACCAUCGGAUCUGCCCAGAUGGGAUUAGCUAGUAGGUGGGGUAAAGGCUCACCUAGUCGACGAUCCCUAGCUGGUCUGAGUGGAUGACGCGUCACACUUGAACUGUGACACGGGCCAGACUCCUACGGGAGGCAGCAUUGGGGAAUAUUGCACAAUGGGCGGAAGGCUGAUGCAGCCAUGCCGCGUGUAUGAAGAGGGCCUUCGGGGUGUAAAGUACUUUCAGCGGGGAGGCGUUACCCGCAGAAGAAGCACCGGCUAACUCCGUGCCAGCAGCCGCGGUAAUAC